rnacentral:piRNA from 1 species
UGGAUUAUGACCAGAAAAUGAGAUAGUGAC